rnacentral:rRNA from 1 species
UACGUAGGGGGCUAGCGUUGUCCGGAUUUAUUGGGCGUAAAGAGCGUGUAGGCGGCCAGAUAGGUCUGCUGUGAAAACUCGAGGCUCAACCUCGAGCUGUCGGCGGAAACCAUCUGGCUAGAGUCCGGAAGAGGAGAGUGGAAUUCCCGGUGUAGCGGUGAAAUGCGCAGAUAUCGGGAAGAACACCUGUGGCGAAGGCGGCUCGUCUGGGGACGG